CGACAUUAUUAGGUUCAAAGACACUCCACAAUUUAAGCUAAAACUGGAUAAAGAGUAGAGUAACCUGCGUGCUGGAGGAUUAGACUUUAGAGCAGAAGGAAAGACUUUUGCUGAAGCAGCUGCUUCAGAUCACUGACUUGUUAAAGAUGUGUAACGAUUACUGCAGGAAAUUCCUCAUCAAAAUCUGCCUGUUUUGUUUCAGACUAAAACUCAUGAAAUCUGCAACUUUUCUUUCAAGCAGGUUCUGUUACAAUGACAAAUCAUUCAAGUUGGAAAAGACCACUGAGAU
rnacentral:lncRNA from 1 species